UACGGGGGGGGCAAGCGUUGUUCGGAAUUACUGGGCGUAAAGGGCUCGUAGGCGGCCAACUAAGUCAUACGUGAAAUCCCUCGGCUUAACCGGGGAACUGCGUCUGAUACUGGAUGGCUUGAGUUCGGGAGAGGGAUGCGGAAUUCCAGGUGUAGCGGUGAAAUGCGUAGAUAUCUGGAGGAACACCGGUGGCGAAGGCGGCUCGCUGGGCCAGUUCUGACACUCAUCCGCGAAAGCGUGGGGAGCAAACAGG
rnacentral:rRNA from 1 species